rnacentral:tRNA from 1 species
CGGGGCGUGGCGCAGUGGUAGCGCAUCUGCUUUGGGAGCAGAGGGUCGCUGGUUCGAAUCCAGUCGCCCCGACCA